GUGGUAUGCUUGCUAAUGAAACAUCUCUCUAUCCAGGUCACAAUUAAUAAAAUUAAACCAUUAAAAGUCAAAGUACGGUCUUCAACACGGAACAUUAGAUUACACCAAACAGCGAGCUGUAAAGGCCCCGAAAAAUUACUAUGGUUAUUAUGAGCAUAGAUUACAUUCACAAAUACAAAUUCAAACACAAAUUAUGUCUAAGACAAAGCAUACAUUUUAAAAUCCA
rnacentral:lncRNA from 1 species